rnacentral:rRNA from 1 species
UACAGAGGGGGCAAGCGUUAUUCGGAAUUAUUGGGCGUAAAGGGCGCGUAGGCGGCUUGGCAAGUGGAAGGUGAAAUCCCUCGGCUUAACCGAGGAACUGCCUUCCAGACUGCUUUGCUUGAGGCCGGGAGAGGCGAGUGGAAUUCCCAGUGUAGCGGUGAAAUGCGUAGAUAUUGGGAGGAACACCAGUGGCGAAGGCGGCUCGCUGGACCGGUUCUGACGCUGAGGCGCGAAAGCCAGGGGAGCAAACGGG